CUUUGAGAGAAUCAUGCUAAUUUACAAGGUGCUGUCUGUAUGAAGUUGUACUUGCCCACCUAUGACCGUCACAAAAUGAACUUGCAGUUACGAACCUAAUUUGUUUUUCUGACCAUGCGUGUUUAUCUGCCUACUGUACCAUCUAUCACAGUGCCAUGCAGAAUAAGAAGAGGAUCAAGCAAAGUGUUGUCUGUUAGCCACGACAAAGCAGCGCAUCGAGAGCAACAUAGAAACUGCUGGCUAAUCUCUGAUGACAGCUCUCUCUGUGAAAACCUCUGGGCUCUCAGACCAGGACUCAGCGGUCAUUUGGGGUUCCUGCAUGCACACAGCUUGAAACCACUUACAUGCAAGAAUGAGGCAAGACUACAAAAUCAAGAAUGAAAAUAUGGAAACAGGCACUGAAUUCAAUCUUGUGACAUUUAUUGUGAAUCAGAGCACUGAGACUGGAUGACGCGAGCCCCAGGAAAAGAGCCAG